rnacentral:rRNA from 1 species
GACGAACGCUGGCGGCGUGCCUAACACAUGCAAGUCGAACGGAGGAUAUCCGACGGAAGCAUUUAUGUGGAAGAUGGAUAUUUCUUAGUGGCGGACGGGUGAGUAACGCGUGAGCAACCUGGCCUUUGGAGGGGGAUAACAACGGGAAACCGUUGCUAAUACCGCAUAACACACAAAGGGGACAUCCCCAUUGUGGAAAAGGAGCAAUCCACCGAAGGAUGGGCUCGCGUCCCAUUAGGUAGAUGGUGAGGUAACGGCCCACCAUGCCUGCGAUGGGUAGCCGGACUGAGAGGUUGGCCGGCCACACUGGAACUGAGACACGGUCCAGACUCCUACGGGAGGCAGCAGUGGGGAAUAUUGGGCAAUGGGGGAAACCCUGACCCAGCAACGCCGCGUGAAGGAAGAAGGUUUUCGGAUUGUAAACUUCUGUCCUUGGGGAAGAAGAAAGUGACGGUACCCAAGGAGGAAGCCCCGGCUAACUACGUGCCAGCCGCCGCGGUAA